CCUUACCCGUUUCGGUGGUGCCGGAUCGGAACAAUGAGCAUGCGUGAGACGCGCCAACAGCCGCUGCUUUAUUUAUUUUUAUGACGUACGACAUUCGUAGGUGCAUACAUUACCGAUAUUGUCUUCGCUCCUGCUCCAUACUUUACUUCAUCGGCUUUGACCGGGUAGCCCUUUCCGGUGGCCAAGAAUACCUCUUGCGUGCCGCGUGCCCGCUCCCAUUGCCUAUCAGGGACUUAACCGUUGGGUUUGGCCACUGCCAAAGCUCUCUUCUCCGCCUUUCCAUUCCGCUUGCCGUAGGUACCUCAUCAGCGGGUGAUUCCGCCGUAGAUAGUCCUCUCGGAAGGUGCAAGGGGUGUGCGUCUGGCUGGAAUUUGGCAGCCACCGGCUGUGCUGCGGGCCAUAGCUAUGCUGUAUCGCUAAGUCUACAAUGUGGCGUCCAGUCCGCUGCAGGGACAUAAUGUCAGCAGCCCCCUCAUUCAUAUGCGCCGAAUCAAACGCUGGGCUUCAGCUUCGACACACAAGUCUUAUGCACCCUACGCUGCCACAAGCUGAGUCCUAUCAGAUUUGUUCACGCCAACGGAAUCCUAUUUAAGCAUUACCGAGGCGUAUUCGAGGCAGACCGAGUGCUACCCCAGCAAGACAGAAUAGUUUCCCAGAAGGACAGAAGCGCAUCCCUUGCAAUCGCCAUCGACAACUAUCUGAAGGACUUUGGCUAUGGCAAACAAGGGAGUGGCUACGCGGACUACCAGACAUUUUUAUGACCUACGACAUUCGUAGGUGCAUACAUUACCGAUAUUGUCUUCGCUCCUGCUCCAUACUUUACUUCAUCGGCUUUGACCGGCAGGUAGCCCUUUCCGGUGGCCAAGAAUACCUCUUGCGUGCCGCGUGCCCGCUCCCAUUGCCUAUCAGGGACUUAACCUUUGGGUUUGGCCACUGCCAAAGCUCUCUUCUCCGCCUUUCCAUUCCGCUUGCCGUAGGUACCUCAUCAGCGGGUGAUUCCGCCGUAGAUAGUCCUCUCGGAAGGUGCAAGGGGUGUGCGUCUGGCUGGAAUUUGGCAGCCACCGGCUGUGCUGCGGGCCAUAGCUAUGCUGUAUCGCUAAGUCUACAAUGUGGCGUCCAGUCCGCUGCAGGGACAUAAUGUCAGCAGCCCCCUCAUUCAUAUGCGCCGAAUCAAACGCUGGGCUUCAGCUUCGACACACAAGUCUUAUGCACCCUACGCUCCGCUGCCACAAGCUGAGUCCUAUCAGAUUUGUUCACGCCAGACGGAAUCCUAUUUAAGCAUUACCGAGGCGUAUUCGAGGCAGACCGAGUGCUACCCCAGCAAGACAGAAUAGUUUCCCAGAAGGACAGAAGCGCAUCCCUUGCAAUCGCCAUCGACAACUAUCUGAAGGACUUUGGCUAUGGCAAACAAGGGAGUGGCUACGCGGACUACCAGACAUUUUUAUGACCUACGACAUUCGUAGGUGCAUACAUUACCGAUAUUGUCUUCGCUCCUGCUCCAUACUUUACUUCAUCGGCUUUGACCGGGUAGCCCUUUCCGGUGGCCAAGAAUACCUCUUGCGUGCCGCGGGCCCGCUCCCAUUGCCUAUCAGGGACUUAACCUUUGGGUUUGGCCACUGCCAAAGCUCUCUUCUCCGCCUUUCCAUUCCGCUUGCCGUAGGUACCUCAUCAGCGGGUGAUUCCGCCGUAGAUAGUCCUCUCUGAAGGUGCAAGGGAUGUGCGUCUGGCUGGAAUGCUGCGGGCCAUAGCUAUGCUGUAUCGCUAAGUCUACAAUGUGGCGUCCAGUCCGCUGCAGGGACAUAAUGUCAGCAGCCCCCUCAUUCAUAUGCGCCGAAUCAAACGCUGGGCUUCAGCUUCGACACACAAGUCUUAUGCACCCUACGCUCCGCUGCCACAAGCUGAGUCCUAUCAGAUUUGUUCACGCCAGACGGAAUCCUAUUUAAGCAUUACCGAGGCGUAUUCGAAGCAGACCGAGUGCUACCCCAGCAAGAAGGAAUAGUUUCCCAGAAGGACAGAAGCGCAUCCCUUGCAAUCGCCAUCGACAACUAUCUGAAGGACUUUGGCUAUGGCAAACAAGGGAGUGGCUACGCGGACUACCAGACAUUUUUAUGACCUACGACAUUCGUAGGUGCAUACAUUACCGAUAUUGUCUUCGCUCCUGCUCCAUACUUUACUUCAUCGGCUUUGACCGGGUAGCCCUUUCCGGUGGCCAAGAAUACCUCUUGCGUGCCGCGUGCCCGCUCCCAUUGCCUAUCAGGGACUUAACCUUUGGGUUUGGCCACUGCCAAAGCUCUCUUCUCCGCCUUUCCAUUCCGCUUGCCGUAGGUACCUCAUCAGCGGGUGAUUCCGCCGUAGAUAGUCCUCUCGGAAGGUGCAAGGGGUGUGCGUCUGGCUGGAAUUUGGCAGCCACCGGCUGUGCUGCGGGCCAUAGCUAUGCUGUAUCGCUAAGUCUACAAUGUGGCGUCCAGUCCGCUGCAGGGACAUAAUGUCAGCAGCCCCCUCAUUCAUAUGCGCCGAAUCAAACGCUGGGCUUCAGCUUCGACACACAAGUCUUAUGCACCCUACGCUGCCACAAGCUGAGUCCUAUCAGAUUUGUUCACGCCAACGGAAUCCUAUUUAAGCAUUACCGAGGCGUAUUCGAGGCAGACCGAGUGCUACCCCAGCAAGACAGAAUAGUUUCCCAGAAGGACAGAAGCGCAUCCCUUGCAAUCGCCAUCGACAACUAUCUGAAGGACUUUGGCUAUGGCAAACAAGGGAGUGGCUACGCGGACUACCAGACAUUUUUAUGACCUACGACAUUCGUAGGUGCAUACAUUACCGAUAUUGUCUUCGCUCCUGCUCCAUACUUUACUUCAUCGGCUUUGACCGGGUAGCCCUUUCCGGUGGCCAAGAAUACCUCUUGCGUGCCGCGUGCCCGCUCCCAUUGCCUAUCAGGGACUUAACCUUUGGGUUUGGCCACUGCCAAAGCUCUCUUCUCCGCCUUUCCAUUCCGCUUGCCGUAGGUACCUCAUCAGCGGGUGAUUCCGCCGUAGAAAUUCCUCUCGGAAGGUGCAAGGGAUGUGCGUCUGGCUGGAAUUUGGCAGCCACCGGCUGUGCUGCGGGCCAUAGCUCUGCUGUAUCGCUAAGUCUACAAUGUGGCGUCCAGUCCGCUGCAGGGACGUAAUGUCAGCAGCCCCCUCAUUCAUAUGCGCCGAAUCAAACGCUGGGCUUCAGCUUCGACACACGUAAGUGAAUCAUUAU